GACGAACGCUGGCGGCGUGCCUAAUACAUGCAAGUCGAACGCAGUGGGGACGGGUGAGUAACACGUGGGUAACCUCCCAUCAGAGGGGAUAAAACUUGGAAACAGGUGCUAAACCGAUACUGAUGGAUGGACCCGCGGGUCAUUAGCUAGUUGGUGGGGUAACGGCUCACCAAGGACCCGAUGCAUAGCUGACCUGGUAGGGUGAUCGGCCACACGUGGACUGAGACACGGCCCAGACUCCUACGGGAGGCAGCAGUAGGGAAUCUGCGGCAAUUGACGAAAGUCUGACCGAGCAACGCCGCGUGAGUGAAGAAGGUUUUCGGAUCGUAAAACUCUGUUGUUAGAGAAGCGGUAUCUAACCAGAAAGCCACGGCUAACUACGUGCCAGCCGCCGCGGUAAUAC
rnacentral:rRNA from 1 species